rnacentral:rRNA from 1 species
GACGAACGCUGGCGGCGUGCCUAACACAUGCAAGUCGAACGGAGAUAUGAUUUCGGUUGUAUCUUAGUGGCGAACGGGUGAGUAACGCGUGAGCAACCUGACUCUUAGAGGGGGAUAACACCCGGAAACGAGUGCUAAUACCGCAUAAGACCACGACAUGGCAUCAUGACGAGGUCAAAGGAGCAAUCCGCUGAGAGAGGGGCUCGCGUCCCAUUAGAUAGAUGGCGGGGUAAUGGCCCACCAUGUCAGCGAUGGGUAGCCGAGCUGAGAGGCUGAUCGGCCACACUGGAACUGAGACACGGUCCAGACUCCUACGGGAGGCAGCAGUGGGGAAUAUUGGGCAAUGGGCGCAAGCCUGACCCAGCAACGCCGCGUGAGGGAAGAAGGCUUUCGGGUUGUAAACCUCUGUCCUUGGUGACGAAAAAAUGACGGUAGCCAAGGAGGAAGCCCCGGCUAACUACGUGCCAGCAGCCGCGGUAAUAUAGCGUACC